rnacentral:rRNA from 1 species
AAUUGGGGACCGCGCCUCUAUAGCGGAUCGGCGCGGCGGUGGUGGCAGGGCAGGGGGAUGUCCACGCGGUCGAGGUCGGUGCAGGGCUCCGUGGGUGGCGGCGGCAGCACGGCUGGGGGCUCGGCCGUGCCGCUCGCCGUGCUGCUGCGGCGGGAGGUGGUCAGCGAGAGGACCGCCGCCGAGCGCCCGGAGCUCCAGCACGGCCUCUUCAGCCAGGCCAAGAAGGGCGAGGAUUUUGUCUUCCUCAAGCCCGACUGCGAGCGUCUCCCCGGCUUCCCGUCAUCCUCCUUCUCUGCCUUCGGCCUGUUUGAUGGGCACAAUGGGAAUGGAGCCGCUAUUUAUACUAAGGAGAAUCUCUUGAACAACAUCUUGGGUGCAGUCCCUGCUGAUCUCAACAGGGAGGACUGGCUUGCUGCGCUUCCAAGGGCGAUGGUUGCAGCAUUUGUCAAAACCGAUAAAGAUUUCCAAACAGUAGCACGCUCUUCAGGAACAACAGUGACAUUUGUCAUAAUAGAUGGAUUGGUUGUUACUGUUGCAUCUGUUGGUGAUUCGCGUUGUGUAUUAGAAGCUGAAGGUUCAAUUUAUCAGUUAUCUUCGGAUCAUCGUUUCGAUGCCAGUAAAGAGGAGGUUGAUCGUGUAACAGAAGCUGGAGGUGAUGUUGGAAGGCUAAAUGUUGUUGGUGGUGCUGAGAUUGGCCCCCUUAGAUGCUGGCCCGGGGGUUUGUGCCUGUCAAGGACAAUCGGAGAUCAGGACGUGGGUGAAUUUAUCGUUCCUGUUCCUCUCGUCAAGCAAGUAAAGUUAUCUACUGCUGGAGGUCGGCUUAUUAUUUCAAGCGAUGGUGUUUGGGAUGCUUUGACUGCAGAACAGGCUCUGAACUGUUCAAGAGGACUUCCUCCUGAAGCUGCAGCUGAGCAAAUUGUUAAAGACGCAGUGCACUCAAAGGGACUGAGGGAUGACACCACUUGUAUGGUCGUUGACCUAGUACCAGAAAAAGGCAACCCAGCUAUGUCAGCUCCUAAAAAGCAACCAGGAAUGGGUGUUUUCAAAAAUAUGUUUCGCAAGAAAACAUCUUCCGACUCAUCAUCCCAUGCAGAUAGAGAAUAUAUGGAUCCAGACGUCGUAGAAGAGAUAUUUGAGGAUGAAUGUGCAUUGCUCUCUAGACGGCUGGAUUCUGAAUACCCUGUUCGAAAUAUGUUCAAACUCUUUAUAUGUGCUAUUUGUCAAGUAGAGUUAAAGCCAAAUCAAGGGAUAUCUGUACAUGAAGAUUCAUCACACUUGCGUCGAUGGGAUGGUCCGUUCCUUUGCCAAAGCUGUCAGGAAAAAAAAGAAGCCAUGGAGGGAAAGCGCCGUUCACGAGAUUCGUCAUCAAGAAAUAGCGGGUCCAGUGAAUAGUCGCCAAGGUUAAAAUUGUCUUGCUUUUAAAAAAGGGUUAUGAUACCAGAGAGCUACUGACCUCACAAUGCCUAAGCCUCCAAGAGACAAUCAUUUUGCAGCAUUUCACAUUGUUUUGGCACUUCCGUGAGCACAUGGACUGGUUGGGGUAUUUGAUCUGAGAUUGAAAUAUGAAUUGCCAUGAAGCAGGUGGUUACUGUUCAAUAGCCUAUUAUGCCAUUUGAAGUGGCAAGCAUAUACCUUGUUUUUAAUUAAAGGGACAAGCUUUUUGCUCGACAAUUUCACACAGAUCAUUUGACCUUGGUGGCAAAUACAGGCCCAAAGAUCAUUGAUUGAGAACGGCAUGCCAUGUUGACGUAUCUAUUCUUAGGUCAAACUAUAGUGUGAAUUACUGAUCACAUAUAGAGCUCCGGUCAGAAGGGCUUUGUAAUUCUCAAUAUGAGUAGGUGAGUUUCUUCUGACCGACCUUGACUUGUGGUCGAGAAAUACUCAACCCUUGUUGAAGUUCAGCUUUUCCUAACUCUUCUGUAAUUAAUUAGCAUAUAAAUAAAUUCUUUCAAACAACUGUGGCUUGAUUGAUCAGCAUGACAUUUCUGUGCUUGUUUACAAUGUACAUAAACUGGAUCAUACUUCUGGCAUUAUGGC